GCUCUCAGAGGCGAAAAAGGACGUGAUAAGCUGCGAAAAGCUGCGGGGAUUGGCACAUACGAAUAGAUCCGCAGAUUUCCAAUGGGGAA
rnacentral:rRNA from 1 species